GACGAACGCUGGCGGCGUGCCUAAUACAUGCAAGUCGAACGCUGAAGAGAGGAGCUUGCUCUUCUUGGAUGAGUUGCGAACGGGUGAGUAACGCGUAGGUAACCUGCCUUGUAGCGGGGGAUAACUAUUGGAAACGAUAGCUAAUACCGCAUAACAAUAGGUGACACAUGUCAUUUAUUUGAAAGGGGCAAUUGCUCCACUACAAGAUGGACCUGCGUUGUAUUAGCUAGUAGGUGAGGUAACGGCUCACCUAGGCGACGAUACAUAGCCGACCUGAGAGGGUGAUCGGCCACACUGGGACUGAGACACGGCCCAGACUCCUACGGGAGGCAGCAGUAGGGAAUCUUCGGCAAUGGGGGCAACCCUGACCGAGCAACGCCGCGUGAGUGAAGAAGGUUUUCGGAUCGUAAAGCUCUGUUGUAAGUCAAGAACGAGUGUGAGAGUGGAAAGUUCACACUGUGACGGUAGCUGACCAGAAAGGGACGGCUAACUACGUG
rnacentral:rRNA from 1 species